UGGGGAAUAUUGCACAAUGGGGGAAACCCUGAUGCAGCGACGCCGCGUGAGUGAAGAAGUAUUUCGGUAUGUAAAGCUCUAUCAGCAGGGAAGAGAAUGACGGUACCUGACUAAGAAGCCCCGGCUAACUACGUGCCGGCAGCCGCGGUAAUACGUAGGGGGCAAGCGUUAUCCGGAUUUACUGGGUGUAAAGGGAGCGUAGACGGCUUAGCAAGUCUGAAGUGAAAGCCCGGGGCUCAACCCCGGGACUGCUUUGGAAACUGUUAAGCUGGAGUGCUGGAGAGGUAAGCGGAAUUCCUAGUGUAGCGGUGAAAUGCGUAGAUAUUAGGAGGAACACCAGUGGCGAAGGCGGCUUACUGGACAGUAACUGACGUUGAGGCUCGAAAGCGUGGGGAGCAAACAG
rnacentral:rRNA from 1 species